UGGCUCUCUAGUAAAAAAUUAACAAAAAAAAUCUAUUUUUCUGGUUGAAAACUCCUUUGUUUUCCUGACGAAUCUCUCUCAAGCGUCCGCGCACAUUUAUCAAUCUCUCUUGAAUGGCCUCACCGUCCGACGCCUCCAACCAGGAGGCUGUUGUGAGGAAGCAAAACAAAGGAGCCCCGAUUAAGUUCUUGGUCCCUCUUAUAUACGCCCCUGUUCUUCCUCUCAUUCGGCUCUCGUUGAGGAGGAACCCGGUGGUGAGGGAUCGUUUGUUUACCCUCGUCUUGGCUGGGGCUUUCGCCCAUGGGUUUUACUUGGUGUAUCCUUUUCCUUGCAUUCUUUUUCUUUUUUUGGUUGCAAUCUCGUGCUUUCGGCUGUUAUCUGUUCAUGGUGAUGAUUCGUUGUGUUUAUUAAAUCAUUUGUCUUUGAAUUA